UCUGUUUAUGAAGCUAUGACUAAUCUCACAGACCACAGAAUGGUGUAUGGGGUUGCAACAGUAGGAUUGAAAAAGAUCUGAAAGACUUUUGUUUUUCCUAGAUAUAAAAUGCUAUCAGUAAAUAGAACUAUUUCGAACAGAAAACCAUUAUUUGAAGAUUGUUACUCAGUUCAUAGUAUUACAAGAAAUUAAGUUGGUUAGUAAUCUAUGGCUACGAAAAAUAGUGUAUUGUUAGAUGAGCAUCUUUUUCUGGAUCAGAAGACAUAGAUGCACCAAAAAAAAUGAAAGGCUCUUCAUAUUUCUAUUUUAACAUCUACAAAAACAAAGGCAGCCUUCUAGAACAAAGACCACUUUUUUCCAAGGGAGGAGGACCACAGCUCUGCCAUGGGGAAAGACAGCAACUUCUGUGCAGACAGCAGCCUUGAGUAAAACAUCCAUCUGAGCAACACUACAGGCAAAAAAAAAGAUCCUGAAGACUUCAUGAUGAUGUUGACUUAUUUCUUCUCUAACUGUCCAAUUAGUCAUGAUGCUACACAGGGAGAUAUUAGUGCCAUAUGGAAUGCAAGAUGCUGAAGACACCAAGCUUUUCCUCUCUCUCAUGAAGAACAGCUAAUUUUAUCUCCUAGAAAAAACAAUGUCUGAAUAAGAAAAUAGCAAGCAAAUUUGGAGUUGCUUAUGGUAAAAUAUAAGAGCCAAGGCUGCUGCACUGACAAAGAAAAUUGCAUUUUUAGUUUUUGUUUGCUUGAAAAGCAGCUUGCCUGAAGCUGAAUUCAUCGCUAUUCCACUUAUCUCCAAGUCAGCAAGGGACAGUUUUACAAAUCUCUAACAUAAGGCAUGAAAUAGAAUUCAACAGCAGCACUGAUCUUCUUUGUAAUUGGUUCUGGCCAAAUGAAUGGAGGCUGGUGGACUGCAAACACAAACAGCACAUUUUGGAGUGUUUUCUUGAAAUGUUAACUUUAUUAAAAUCAGUCACUCUGUGAGAAAAACAAUAAUCUCAUGGAGAAUCAACUCUCCCUGAUUUAUCUUUGUAUAUGCUUCAAAAUACAACCUUGUGGUGAAACACUCUGAAAGCUGAUUGCUUUUACUGACGUGUGUGAGCCAUAUUAAUAUUUUUUGACCAUUACAUCUGUAAUACAUUACUGCUAAUAAACUUUCUUUUAAGAAAUUAUGCAAUUAGUUUACAGUCCCUAAAAGACAUUACAUUUUCUCAAGGCAGAGUGCUUUCCUGUGCAGGGAUGGUCUCAAACACAUUUUCCUAAUAACACCAUUGUUAGUAGUAAUUGACUUAUACUCAUGGCUUGAGUCCCAUCUCUACACUUACAUGAACAGAAGCCAAGUUUUCAAUGACAUAUCUAUAUUAUAAACUACAUGUGAUCACAUGUAUGUAUUGCUGACACAAUCAUCUACAUAACCAUACAAUCAGAUGGACCCUAGUGUGGUUCCUCUGCUGUCCCAAACCACAGGCAAGGGCCAAGCCAGUCCUUAUGAUAAAGCCCUUGGGGCUGGAAAGCCCUUCCUUGGCAGCAGUCUGAGUAUGGUCACCUCUGAUCACUGUGCAAUGUGGGUUAACUUUGCACAUGUGAGUUCUGCCACACGCCUUUGGAUCUAGAGAAGAUGUUUAGUUUCUAUUUUUAGUAGUAACCAAGCAGUCAAAGUCUUCCUUCAUCAGGGAAGAGUUACAGACCCAGCCUGAUAUGGCCCUCCUGCUUGUUGGGAGCAGAGACCCAAAUAGCCAGAGCAGUCUGUCCAAAUAACUUAGUAAGGUUAUUGGCUUUACUUUGGCUCUUGCAUCUUGCUAAAGCAACACUUAAACACUGAAAGAAUCUUUUUGUGCUCAUCCUAGAACCCCUUACCUGAAGAAUGCCUGCUGAAGAAAUACUUGUGGCAAGGAGACAAGACCCUAAUCCUUGGCACAGUUUUCAAACCUGUGUGUUUGGAAAUUGGCUAGAAGUGACUCUGUGCCUGGGUGUGCUUUGUCCAUGCUGAAACAUCCCUGGGUUCUUGAACUGUGCUGUCACUGAGGAGCAGGGUCAGAGAUCAGAAAUAUGUUUAAAGAGUGCUGUCACAUGCCAGCAUUCAUGACUCCUCAGUUACACCUGCAGCCUUUAAGGGUCCUGUUUCCCUGAUCUCAUGGCAGCUAAAAACUGACCUCGGACUGCUGCAGCUCAUUCACCUGCCCAAGGACUUUGAGAUUUGUCACAGGCAGAACCUGACUCAGAGUGUUUUAUAUGCAGGUGGAGUGCACUGAAAUUCUGUAGCUAUAACAGAAUUAUACAGAAACAUAGAAACAGAAUAAGCUGAGCUGGAAAAGACCCAUCAGGGUCAUCAAGUCCAACUCCUGUCUCUGCACAGGGCAUUCCAAGAAGCACAGAGUCUUGUCCAAACACGAACACAGACACUCAGAAGCUGCCUUUGCUCUCUAUAUGAGACAAAAAUCUCUAUAUGAGACACCAAAAGUUAUGGGGAAAAAUUUCAAAUCACUCACGAGUAAGCUAAGUCCACCCUUUUAAAAAAGAUUCUUUUUUUCUUUCUCCCACAAGUACUUGUAAUUAUUCAGAGAAAUUUUGGAAGUUAGACUGGAAGUAACUCUCUAUUAAAACCAACAAGAUGUUCUUUGUACAAUUUAGGGUUUAACAUUAUCAAAAAGGGCUGAAGUCAAAAUGCAAACUUAAGACUGUUUGCAACUGUAAAAUUUUCUAGCAUUGUAACAGAAUAAGAGACUGGUAGCUGCAAAUUGCAGUCCUAAUCCUUAAUGUAAUUUAACAAUUACUAAUGCACAGUAAGUUUUUUCUAUUAUUUUCUUUUUAGUUUCAUCAAAAAGACCAGAUCAAGUGCAAACUGUUAUUGUAAGGAUUUUUAAUCAAAUGCAAUUAUAUAAUUAAUGAUACACUACUAAGCCAUGGCAGUCCAAUUACCAUUGAUAAACAUUUCUUCAGGGGUCUCUAGCUCUUCAUAGUGAAGACUGGCAGAGAAUGGAUUCCUAUUAGGCAGCUCAGAGCCCCUUGGGCUCUGUCAUAGAUAAAUAGAAUUUUACAUGCUUGUACUGCUCUUGUCUUAUUCUAACAGCUCCCCUUCUAGUCAUACUAAAUAAGUUAGGCUUAUUCUGUUGAAGGCAACUUAAAUUCUGCAUGAAUGCUAUAACCAGCAAAUGCAAAUGCUGGAGCACAACAGUGUUACACAUUGUGUUUUCCUCUAGUACCAGUAAAUUUCAGGUUAGACAAUUUUACUGCAGUUGAAUUUCACAGUGCUAUGAUUUUAAUUUUAAAAAAAAUUCAGGAAAAAACACUUAUCCCAGGAAAAUUGUGGUUAAGCAGCCAACAGUCAAUGCUCACACAGAUUGAAAGUGAUCUACAAGAACUGAAACUUGUUUUGCUACAAGUAUGUUAGAGAUAACAUCAGUGUCUCUUCCUCUCAGGUAAACUCUCAUGAAAUAAACAAGAAGCAACAGCUUUGAAGAAUCAUGGAAAGGCAGAGAUAGAAAGAAAACAAGAGGAGGGGAAAGGACAAUUAUCUAAAAGUAACUGACUAUAUGAACUCCCUCUUCCCAAAUAACAGAGGAACACAGAACAUAGUGACAGAAACAAAAGCUUUGCAAAUCAUAGAAUGGUUUGCGUUGGAAGGGACAUUAAAGAUCAUCUAAUUCCAACCCCCUGCCAUGGGCAAACACAAUUUUCACAAGAUCAGGUUGUUCAAAGUCCUGUUCUACCUUGUUUUGAACACUUCCAGGACCUGGGUAUCCACAUACCCAUUUCUCUGGGUAAUCUGUGACAGUGUCUCACCACUCUCAAUAUCUUUUUGUGGCACAUCUAUCACGGGUCCUGAAUGACAUGGCUUGUAGUUAUGUUACUAGGAAAUGUUUUGUAGAGCUAUAGGUGUUGGGAGAGGGUUUAAUUCUGUUUCUUCUGCAGAUAUUCUUGGGCUUAAUCCAGGACAGAGCUAUUCUGGUAAGGAAGAAGGAAGGAUGCAGAGCAUCUCAUGCUUUUCACUUACAAGGUUGAACAGCUGUCACUGCAUUUGCUGCUAACGAGAGGGGCUGCAGGCCCAUUGCUGUGCUCCAGGAACUUUCCUUACUCCUGCUGGGGAUACAAAGCCACCAAGAAUUAUCAAGUAAUAAAAUCCUCAUGAAUGUGAAUGUCUGUGUAAUUACAUAUGUAUAUCUAUAUAUAUAUCAGUUUAUAUUGACCUCUGAAAUGAUCCAUGGAGUUUAUUACCCCGGACUAAUUCCUGUCUUUCACCUUCUUCUGUGCCAUGUUGGAGCUAUUUUGCUGCAUGUACCAGUAACCAUAUAAGCCAUUAUUUUAUAAGCCAACUUCUUAAGAAAAUAAA